ACAAAGUACAAAAAGGAUCUGGACAUUGGCGUGGGAGGAAGACGGGAAUGGGGAUGGGAAGUUUCUGGAAGGAGCGAGACAGGGAGGGACAGGGUUUAGGAGAGGAAGGCGAUGCAACACAGGCGCACCCACUCAGGCUGACUCUCCGGGUCGAGGUCGGGCCAGGGACGGCUGCCCUGGGGGCGAGGCGGCGGCAUCCCUUCCUCCACCUCCCUGCUGAACCGGAGGACAGGAGCCUCAGAUGAAAGAAACUAUCAUAAACCAGGAGAAACUCGCCAAACUGCAGGCACAAGUGCGCAUUGGUGGGAAAGGAACUGCUCGCAGAAAGAAGAAGGUGGUUCAUAGAACAGCCACAGCAGAUGACAAAAAACUUCAGUUCUCUUUAAAGAAGUUAGGGGUAAACAAUAUCUCUGGUAUUGAAGAGGUGAAUAUGUUCACAAAUCAAGGAACAGUGAUCCACUUUAACAACCCUAAAGUUCAGGCAUCUCUGGCAGCAAACACUUUCACCAUUACAGGCCACGCUGAGACAAAGCAACUGACAGAAAUGCUCCCCAGCAUCUUAAACCAGCUUGGUGCCGACAGUCUGACCAGUUUAAGGAGACUGGCUGAAGCUCUGCCCAAACAGUCCGUGGAUGGAAAAGCACCACUUGCCACUGGAGAGGAGGAGGAUGAAGUUCCCGAUCUUGUGGAGAAUGUUGACGAGGCUCCCAGGAACGAAGCACACGGAACUGAGUUAACUUCCGAAGAAGAUGAAUCUUGAGGAAGUUACUGGGAGCUGCUAUUUUAUAUUAUGACUGCUUUUUAAAAUUUUGUUUAUGGAUCUGAUAAAAUCUAGAUCUCUAAUAUUUUUAAGCCUAAGCCCCUGGACACUGCAGCUCUUUUCAGUUUUUGCUUAUAUACAAUUCAUUCUUUGCAGCUAAUGAAGCUGAAGAAGCCUAAGAAUAAAGUUUGAGACAAAGAUAAAUAAAAUUCUUUGCCUAGU